rnacentral:rRNA from 1 species
AGCAGCCGCGGUAAUUCCAGCUCCAAUAGCGUAUAUUAAAGUUGUUGCAGUUAAAAAGCUCGUAGUUGAAUUUCAGGCCUGGCUGGGCGGUCCGCCUUUUGGGUGAGUACUGCCUGUGGUCGGGUCCUACCUUCUGGCGAAGCGUCAUGGCCUUAACCGGCCGUGGCGGGGAACCAGGACUUUUUACUGUGAAAAAUUAGAGUGUUCAAAGCAGGCAUUCGCUUGAAUACAUUAGCAUGGAAUAAUGGAAUAGGACAGUGGUUCUAUUUGUUGGUUUCUAGGACCGUUGUAAUGAUUAAUAGGGAUAGUUGGGGGCAUUAGUAUUCAAUUGUCAGAGGUGAAAUUCUUGGAUUUAUUGAAGACUAACUACUGCGAAAGCA